rnacentral:rRNA from 1 species
UACGAAGGGGGCUAGCGUUGCUCGGAAUCACUGGGCGUAAAGCGCACGUAGGCGGAUCUUUAAGUCAGGGGUGAAAUCCUGGAGCUCAACUCCAGAACUGCCUUUGAUACUGGGGAUCUCGAGUCCGGAAGAGGUGAGUGGAACUCCGAGUGUAGAGGUGAAAUUCGUAGAUAUUCGGAAGAACACCAGUGGCGAAGGCGGCUCACUGGUCCGGUACUGACGCUGAGGCGCGAAAGCGUGGGGAGCAAACAGGG